rnacentral:rRNA from 1 species
UGUUUUCCGCGUUGGACCGCAACAAGUCUGUUGGAAUACAGCGGCAUAGUGGUGAGACCCCCGUAUAUGGUGCGGACGCCCAACGCUUUGUGAUACACUUUCGAAGAGUCGAGUUGUUUGGGAAUGCAGCUCAAAUUGGGUGGUAAAUUCCAUCUAAAGCUAAAUAUUGGCGAGAGACCGAUAGCGAACAAGUACCGUGAGGGAAAGAUGAAAAGCACUUUGGAAAGAGAGUUAACAGUACGUGAAAUUGUUGGAAGGGAAACGCUUGAAGUCAGACUUGCUUGCCGAGCAAUCGGUUUGCAGGCCAGCAUCAGUUUUCCGGGGUGGAUAAUGGUAGAGAGAAGGUAGCAGUUUCGGCUGUGUUAUAGCUCUCUGCUGGAUACACCUUGGGGGACUGAGGAACGCAGUGUGCCUUACGGCGGAUUUCUCGAGAUCUUCACACUUAGGAUGCUGGUGGAAUGGCUUUAAACGAC